rnacentral:rRNA from 1 species
CUGGCGGCAUGCUUAACACAUGUAAGUUGAACGAAGCCAUCUCUACUUGUAGAGAAUGGACUGAGUAGCGGACGGGUGCGUAACGCGUGAAAAUCUACCUUUAGGACAAGCAUAACCCCUGGAAACGGGGGCUAAUACUUGAUAUGCUGAGAAGUUAAAUAGAAAUUAUCUGCCUAAAGAGGAGUUCGCGUCUGAUUAGCUAGUUGGUGAGGUAAAGGCUUACCAAGGCGACAAUCAGUAGUUGGUUUGAGAGGAUGACCAGCCACACUGGGACUGAGAUACGGCCCAGGGUCCUACGGGAAACAACAGUGAGGAAUCUUCCGCAAUGGGCGAAAGCCUGACGGAGCAAUGCCGCGUGGAGGAAGAAGGUCUGCGGAUCGUAAACUUCUUUUCUUGAGGAAGAUAAUGACGGUACUCAAGGAAUAAGCACCCGCAAAAUAUGUGCCAGCAGCGGCGGUAAUACAUAUGGUGCAAGCGUUAUCCGGAAUGAUUGGGCGUAAAACGUCUGUAGGUGGUUUUGAAAGUCCAUUGUUAAAUCGUAAGGCUUAACCUUAUAAAGGCAAUGGAAACUUCUUAACUAGAGUGGGGUAGAGGUAGAGGGAAUUACUGGAGGAACGGUGAAAUGUGCAGAUACUAGUAAGAACACCAAAAGCGAAAGCACUCUACUGGGCCCAUACUGACACUCAGAGACGAAAGCUAGGGGAGCCAAUGGGAUUAGAUACCCCAGUCGUCCUAGCUGUAAACGAUGGCGAUUAAGUGUUGGUAUUCCAACCAGGGCUGAAGUUAACGCGUUAAAUCGCCUGCCUGGGAACUAUGCUCGCAAGAGUAAAACUCAAAGAAAUUGACGGGGGCUCGCACAAGCAGUGGAUGAUGUGGUUUAAUUCGAUCAACGCGAAGAACCUUACCGGGGAUUGACAUCCUACAUAACUAAUCUGGAAACAGUAAAAUCUAGUGUAGAAUACAGGUGGUGCAUGGCUGUCGUCAGCUCGUGUCGUGAGACGUAUGGUUAAGUCCUAUAACGAGCGCAACCCUUAUGAUUAGUUACUUUCGCUGACCUUUGUAGAUUUAAACGAGAAGGUGACGUUAGUUUUUUACUUCAUUUUAUGAAGUAGGAUUCAAAUUGAUCCUUUUUCAACUUAGAUUUGUCAGAUGAAAAAGUAAUCAGACUGCCAGUGCUAAACUGGAGGAAGGUGGGGAUGACGUCAAGUCAGCAUGCCCCUUAUAUCCCGGGCUACACACGUCAUACAAUGGCUCAAGACAAAGAGAGGCUACCUUGCAAAAGCACGCAAAUCUCAAAAACUUGGUCUUAGUUCGGAUUGUAGGCUGCAACUCGCCUACAUGAAGCCGGAAUUGCUAGUAAUCGCAGGUCAGCUAUACUGCGGUGAAUACGUUCUC